rnacentral:rRNA from 1 species
UUUAAUGUUUGAUGUUCUAACGUGGACCCGUUACCCGGGUUGCGGACAGUGUCUGGUGGGUAGUUUGACUGGGGCGGUCUCCUCCUAAAGAGUAACGGAGGAGCACGAAGGUUGGCUAAUCCUGGUCGGACAUCAGGAGGUUAGUGCAAUGGCAUAAGCCAGCUUGACUGCGAGCGUGACGGCGCGAGCAGGUGCGAAAGCAGGUCAUAGUGAUCCGGUGGUUCUGAAUGGAAGGGCCAUCGCUCAACGGAUAAAAGGUACUCCGGGGAUAACAGGCUGAUACCGCCCAAGAGUUCAUAUCGACGGCGGUGUUUGGCACCUCGAUGUCGGCUCAUCACAUCCUGGGGCUGAAGUAGGUCCCAAGGGUAUGGCUGUUCGCCAUUUAAAGUGGUACGCGAGCUGGGUUUAGAACGUCGUGAGACAGUUCGGUCCCUAUCUGCCGUGGGCGCUGGAGAACUGAGGGGGGCUGCUCCUAGUACGAGAGGACCGGAGUGGACGCAUCACUGGUGUUCGGGUUGUCAUGCCAAUGGCACUGCCCGGUAGCUAAAUGCGGAAGAGAUAAGUGCUGAAAGCAUCUAAGCACGAAACUUGCCCCGAGAUGAGUUCUCCCUGAGACUUAGAGUCUCCUGAAGGAACGUUGAAGACGACGACGUUGAUAGGCCGGGUGUGUAAGCGCAGCGAUGCGUUGAGCUAACCGGUACUAAUGAACCGUGAGGCUUAACCUU